GUGUCAGCAGCCGCGGUAAUACGUAGGGACCUAGCGUUGUCCGGAAUCAUUGGGCGUAAAGCGCGCGUAGGCGGCCCGGUAAGUCCGUUGUAAAAGUCGAAGGCUCAACCUUCGAAAGCCGAUGGAUACUGCCGGGCUAGAGUCCGGAAGAGGCGAGUAGAAUUCCUGGUGUAGCGGUGGAAUGCGCAGAUAUCAGGAGGAAUACCCAUAGCGAAGGCAGCUCGCUGGGACGGUACUGACGCUGAGGCGCGAAAGCGUGGGGAGCGAACAGGAUUAGAUACCCUGGUAGUCC
rnacentral:rRNA from 1 species